rnacentral:rRNA from 1 species
UACGAAGGGGGCUAGCGUUGCUCGGAAUCACUGGGCGUAAAGGGUGCGUAGGCGGGUCUUUAAGUCAGGGGUGAAAUCCUGGAGCUCAACUCCAGAACUGCCUUUGAUACUGAGGAUCUUGAGUUCGGGAGAGGUGAGUGGAACUGCGAGUGUAGAGGUGAAAUUCGUAGAUAUUCGCAAGAACACCCGUGGCGAAAGCGGCGCGCUGGACCACUACUGACGCUGAGGAACGAAAGCUAGGGGAGCAAACAGG